GACGAACGCUGGCGGCGUGCUUAACACAUGCAAGUCGAACGGAAAGGCCUGCUUUCCCUUGUGGAUUGCGGGUACUCGAGUGGCGAACGGGUGAGUAACACGUGAGUGAUCUGCCCCCAACUUGGGUAUAAGCCUGGGAAACUGGGUCUAAUUCCCGAUAGGACUGCAGGGUGGUGCCUGUGGUGGAAAACGAUUUUCUAGUGGUUGGGGUUGAGCUCACGGCCUAUCAGCUUGUUGGUGGGGUAAUGGCCUACCAAGGCGGCGACGGGUAGCCGGCCUGGGAGGGCGGACGGCCACAUUGGGACUGGGGUACGGCCCAGACUCCUACGGGAGGCAGCAGUGGGGAAUAUUGCACGAUGGGCGGAUGCCUGAUGCAGCGACGCCGCGUGGGGGAUGCCGGCCUUCGGGUUGUAAACUCCUUUCGACCGCGAGGAAGCCACCUGGUUGGAAGGGUGGUGACGGUAGUGGUAGAAGAAGCACCGGCUAACUACGUG
rnacentral:rRNA from 1 species